CCCACGCUGCCCUCCGCGGUCGCGCGGGGCUCCCGGAGGUGGGCGCUCCCGUCUCUGCACGGCUGCACUGGGAUGGCCUGCCGUGGCUGUCGGCAGCGCGCGCCGUGCGCCCCGGGUCCGGCCUGAGCUGCUGCGUCACCCGGGAAGCCUGGGAACCCAGCUAUUGGGCAACCUUGUCGCCUCCCGCUGUGUUGCUCGCCCGGGCGACCUGCGGCUAAGUCUCCUCCCGGGCGGGGCGCUAGUGAAAGAGAGAAAAUAAGUGUUGCUGGCUGUUGACAUCCCGUGACGCUACUCGAUUCGUGUGUGGGCGGCCUAUGCCUGGUUCAUAAAAGAACUUUUACAACACUGCCUGGCCAGGGCCUCCCUGGAGGGCUAGUGGAAGGGUGUCGCGCCGAACUGGAACAAGAAAGGCCACCGGAGGGGCGUUGGUAACUGUCUGGGUCUAAGGUGCUGCACCUUAGUUGACAGUUUCUGUCAUUACUGUAUCCGCGGGCCUCAGUGUUGGAAACAGGAUCUCUUCAAGCAUGGAUAGUCUAUUACUACUGGGAGGCCAUAGCAGCCGGAGUUUGAGAGAGCUGGUUACAUCACUUCCAAAACAGAAAACCGUUGAACUGCUGCAGGACCAGGAAGGACAGAAACCCCAUCAACAGUCUGUGUGGAAGAGGAGAGCAUUACAGGCCAUGCCUUGGUUCUACAGCUCUAAGAAGAUGAUGCAAUCUCCUCUCCCUUGCACCUCAGGAAGAUGAGGAAUUUGCAUAAAGGACAUGUGGUAGUUGACUAAACCCAAGCACUUUAACUUAAGUCUGUGCUGUCAUUCAGCACAUAUCAAACACAAUCUAAUAGUUGCCUCAGUUCCUGAUCUCCGUCCUUUGAGAAGUUAGUCUGCUCUCAUCUUUGAGUUAUUUGUCAUAACUCGUCCUUAUAAUAGAAUUUCACAUCUUGGCUUCAGCAAAGUGCUUUUCUGCUGAUUGCAACAGCAAAGCCGUGAGUUUAAGUGGCUGUGAGUGGAAAUGGGAUACAAACCACAGAGAAAGUAACUGGUCAAAUCAAGAGAAGGGGAGGGAUAUACAGACUUCUCAUUAUAAGGUGAGAAUUUAGUGUGUUUUGCAGUAGCAAUUUUUUACCCCAAGUGGCUUAGAGCUCAGAUUAUAAAGUAGCCAAAUAUUUUUAAAACUUUCAAAAGUUUGGGUUACUAAAUACUAAGUUUCAAAAUGUACCUAAAAAGGAAAUACAUUCUAAACAAGGUUUUCAGGAGAAAGUGGGGUGUAUUAAUCAGGGUUUGUUGUAGGAGCCUGCUUGUUCAUUCCUGGCUACCCAGACAAUGAAAUAAUCACACAGAAACCAUAUUAUUUGCAAUACUGUUUGGCCAAUAGCUUAGCAUAUAUCGAGCUUGCUCUUAUAUUCUACUAACCUUCUCCAUUAAUCUGUGUAUUGCCACGUGGCUGUGGCUUACUAGCAAGGUUCUGGCCUGUGUCUGUCCCCGGCAGAGGCUACAUGGCUUCUCCCGAAUUGGCCUUCUUUUUUCCAACAUUCAGUUUAGUUUUCCCCAC